UUGAAAAAUAAAGUUGUGAGAGAGAGAGACACAGAGAAAGAAGGGCGAUCAGGGCCAGAUGCAGAGCCCAGAGCACACUGGAAAAGGUUACAGAGACAUCUGGAAGAACGGGGACUGAUGCUGGGGACCUUAGAUCUAAAAGAAUGAGGAGAUGGGCCACCAUGGCCUCUCCUCUACCCACACUUUCAACAUGAUCAUAUCGGCUUCGCUGGGACCUCGGGGCUCUCCGAGCUCCUUGGGAAGGAGAAUGGUGCUUCCUUCCACAAGGACCCGUUGCUAAACCACUGGGUGCAACCAGGAAAAUAAGACCUCCAAGAAAGAGCCAGAAUUGUGUCUGUAAAUGGAGAGUAAAGACAUCGUGGAUCCAUUACCAGAAAGUGUCCUGCAAUUACCUGAGAAUGUAUGAUUUCCAGAAAGUUCCAGGUGGCGAACAUAACUAAGCCUCCCCACAGAGACAGAUUUUGCUAAGCCCUAAGAGGAGUAUAGUUAGCUUUGAAGAAAGAGGAAGCCAGCAGCGGCCACUGUUUACUGAUUGUACUUCCGUACGUCCUAACUGGAUUCCAGGUUCCUGGCCUCAUUCAAAAGCAGAAAACUGCUCUGGUUAUAGUAACCGUCAGCCUUCGGGACAGUCUGGCCACUGCAAUCAGAGGGAGCCUCCCUUCACUCCUCUCGUUUACUUAACAAAUGUUUACCAGAAGUUCAGCCAAGUCUUCCUUACCCAUGAUCCUCUGCAACGACCGGCUUCCCAGCUCACUGAACUAAUGUAUCGCAAAUGCAGUCUAGAAACAAAUUUAGAUCAGAAUUCAAAGACAUUCUUCCCUUGUUAGCUGAAGAAGUCCUCUCGGAAAGAAUGACCAAGUUUUGUUUUCUCUAUAAAUUACUCUUUAAGUUA